rnacentral:rRNA from 3 species
GCGGCAACAGCUCAAAUUUGAAAUCUGGCGCAAGCCCGAGUUGUAAUUUGUAGAGGAUGCUUCUAGGCAGCGGCCGUUCUAAGUUCCUUGGAACAGGACGUCAUAGAGGGUGAGAAUCCCGUAUGUGACCGGCACGCACCUUUUACGUAGCUCCUUCGACGAGUCGAGUUGUUUGGGAAUGCAGCUCUAAAUGGGAGGUAAAUUUCUUCUAAAGCUAAAUACCGGCUGGAGACCGAUAGCGCACAAGUAGAGUGAUCGAAAGAUGAAAAGCACUUUGGAAAGAGAGUUAAAAAGCACGUGAAAUUGUUGAAAGGGAAGCGCCUGCAACCAGACUUCGUGGCAGUGUUCCGCCGGUCUUCUGACCGGUCUAUUCUCUGUCGCGAGGCCAUCAUCGUCUGGGGCCGCCGGAUAAGACUGGAGGAAUGUAGCUCCCCUCGGGGAGUGUUAUAGCUUCCAGUGAUGCGGCGUGUCUCGGGCGAGGUCCGCGCUUCGGCAAGGAUGAUGGCGUAAUGGUUGUCGGCGGCCCGUCUUGAAACACGGACCAAGGAGUCUAACAUCUAUGCGAGUGUUCGGGUGUCAAACCCCUACGCGUAAUGAAAGUGAACGGAGGUGGGAACUUUUUGUGCACCAUCGACCGAUCCUGAUGUCCUCGGAUGGAUUUGAGUAAGAGCAUAGCUGUUGGGACCCGAAAGAUGGUGAACUAUGCCUGAAUAGGGUGAAGCCAGAGGAAACUCUGGUGG